AACCAUAGAAACCUGCGGAGUACCUGCGGAAGGAUCAUUAUCGAGUUGCAAAACUCCAACCCUUUGUGAACAUACCUCAGUCGUUGCUUCGGCGGUGGACGGCCUUUUUUCGAAAAGGCCCGAAGCCGCCGGAGGUUCCAAACUCGUGUUUUGUUUAGUGUAUCUCUGAGCCUGAAAACAAAUAAUCAAAACUUUUAGCAACGGAUCU
rnacentral:misc_RNA from 1 species